rnacentral:rRNA from 1 species
AUUGAACGCUGGCGGCAGGCCUAACACAUGCAAGUCGAACGAGUGGCGGACGGGUGAGUAAUGUCUGGGAAACUGCCUGAUGGAGGGGGAUAAAUACUGGAAACGGUAGCUAAUAACGCAUACCAUUGGAUGAGCCCAUAUGGGAUUAGCUGGUAGGUGGGGUAAAGGCUCACCUAGGCGACGACCCCUAGCUGGUCUGAGAGGAUGACCAGCCACCCUGGAACUGAGACACGGUCCAGACUCCUACGGUAGGCAGCAGUGGGGAAUAUUGCACAAUGGGCGCAAGCCUGAUGCAGCCAUGCCGCGUGUAUGAAGAAGGCCUUCGGGUUGUAAAGUACUUUCAGCGGGGAGGCGUUACCCGCAGAAGAAGCACCGGCUAACUCCGUGCCAGCAGCCGCGGUAAUUC